rnacentral:rRNA from 1 species
GACGAACGCUGGCGGCGUGCUUAACACAUGCAAGUCGAACGAAGAGCGAUGGAAGCUUGCUUCUAUCAAUCUUAGUGGCGCACGGGUGAGUAACGCGUAAUCAACCUGCCCUUCAGAGGGGGACAACAGUUGGAAACGACUGCUAAUACCGCAUACGAUCUAAUCUCGGCAUCGAGGAUAGAUGAAAGGUGGCCUUUACAUGUAAGCUAUCACUGAAGGAGGGGAUUGCGUCUGAUUAGCUAGUUGGAGGGGUAACGGCCCACCAAGGCGAUGAUCAGUAGCCGGUCUGAGAGGAUGAACGGCCACAUUGGGACUGAGACACGGCCCAGACUCCUACGGGAGGCAGCAGUGGGGAAUCUUCCGCAAUGGACGAAAGUCUGACGGAGCAACGCCGCGUGAGUGAUGACGGCCUUCGGGUUGUAAAGCUCUGUUAAUCGGGACGAAAGGCCUUCUUGCGAAUAGUGAGAAGGAUUGACGGUACCGGAAUAGAAAGCCACGGCUAACUACGUG